UGAGCCACUCCAGGAGGAGGUGUGGGCCAAUGGCGUGUUGGAGGUGGAGCCACAGGACCCGUCCAUAGGUUGGAUGGAGUGUGGGUGACAGAGGUAAACCAGGGCUCUCGGCCUGGGCAGCAGGACAGGUGGAGUCAUCCUCACCUGUGCUGGGGACUCUGUGGGAGCAGCAGGCUUCCGAGCACGUGUUGGACCCCGGCGUCUCUGGCUGCACCGAGGGGUCAGGGCAGGGACAUUGAGGCCGCGUCAGGGAGCGUGAGAUACAGGGACAAGCGGGCCCAGGGCUGAGCCCAGCAGUGUCCGGGUGGAAGUGGCGUUGAGAUGGGAAUGGGGAAUUGCACGGGUGGUCUCAGGAGGAUGGAAAACCCAAGCAGCAGCUGGACCAGGACCGAGGCAAAGGGACCGCAGUUUAACAGAAAACCCAAAACGAGAGCGAGAAAAUGGCCAAAACCCCGUGCGAGUGAGACGUCCAUGACCCUUCCCGGCAAAAUCCCAAAUAAGGGAGAAGGGGCAGUCACGGCGGGGGCCGGGGUUCCCUGAAAUCCCCUUCGUUUCCAGAAUCCCUGAAGAUUAUUCCACCCCCCAAGGAGGAAACCCAAGCUCCGCCGAGCGCGGCGGGUCUGGGCCUUCGCUUCGCUUCCUUCUGACCCGACCCUGAGUUCUUUCUCCGGACGGUGUCGCGAACCCGGGCGCCGGCUGGGGCUGGGGUCUCGCUGGCCUCGGAGCCCCCCGAGCCCUCAGGCAACAGCGAGGCGGCCGGGGGCGCAGAAGGCCCAGGGAACGCCAGGCCCCCGAACGCAACCCACACGGGCCCCU
rnacentral:antisense_RNA from 1 species